rnacentral:rRNA from 1 species
UACGAAGGGGGCUAGCGUUAUUCGGAAUCACUGGGCGUAAAGCGCACGAAGGCGGAUCGAUAAGUCGGGGGUGAAAGCCCGGGGCUCAACCUCGGAAUUGCCUUCGAUACUGUCGGUCUCGAGUCCGGGAGAGGUGAGUGGAAUUCCUAGUGUAGAGGUGAAAUUCGUAGAUAUUAGGAAGAACACCAGUGGCGAAGGCGGCUCACUGGCCCGUUACUGACGCUCAGGUGCGAAAGCGUGGGGAGCAAACAGG